AAAGAAUCGAGCCUUUGACUUUGCUCAUGUUAGGGCGAAGUUCUCCUUCUGUCCCUAACAUGGCCUUGGGGGCACUUAAGGGCCGUUAUAUGGGCCUCUCCCCUGAUCUGAUCUUAAAAUAAUCGGACUUUCAUUUUGCUCAUGUCAGGACGAGGUUCUCCUCCUGUUCCUAACAUGACCUUAUUUCGAUUGUUUAAAGGAGUUAUCCCCAGUCGUAACAAGUCCAUGCCAAAAGGGAAAGACAUGUAAAGUCGAAAGGAAUUUUGAUUCAAAGCAAAGUCGUUAGUAGUAUAUUUACAGGUUUCUCG
rnacentral:lncRNA from 1 species